rnacentral:sRNA from 1 species
AUGAAUGAAUGAAGGGGCCUUAUUCCCCCAUCGAGAAAGUGGGACUGACUCCACCUCCUUGAUUUAUGGAAUACAGCUGGGAGGUAAUGGGGGUGCAAGGGCUGAGCAACUCCCUCCUUCCCUGUCCUUGCCUCUGUGCUAGCCCUGUGGAUUUCCUGGCUGGGGACAGGCCCCAGGCAGUGCCUGCUGCUGUCUUCGUGGUCCUCUUCAGCUCCCUGUGUUUGCUGCUCCCCGACGAGGACCCAUUGCCUUUCCUGACUCUCGCCUCGGCACCCAGCCAAGAUGGGAAAACUGAGGCUCCAAGAGAUCUACAAGUACUACUCCCUGCUGGCCUCCCUGCCUCUCCUGCUGGGCCUCGGAUUCCUGAGCCUUUGGUACCCUGUGCAGCUGGUGAGAAGCUUCAGCCGUAGGACAGGAGCAGGCUCCAAGGGGCUGCAGAGCAGCUACUCUGAGGAAUAUCUGAGGAACCUCCUUUGCAGGAAGAAGCUGGGAAGCAGCUCCCACACCUCCAAGCAUGGCUUCCUGUCCUGGGCCUGGGUCUGCUUGAGACACUGCAUCUACACUCCACAGCCAGGAUUCCGUCUCCCGCUGAAGCUGGUGCUUUCAGCUACACUGACAGGGACGGCCAUUUACCAGGUGGCCCUGCUGCUGCUGGUGGGCAUGGUACCCAACAUCCAGAAGGUGAGGGCAGGGGUCACCACGGAUGUCUCCUACCUGCUGGCCGGCUUUGGGAUCGUGCUCUCCGAGGACAAGCAGGAGGUGGUGGAGCUGGUGAAGCACCAUCUGUGGGCUCUGGAAGUGUGCUACAUCUCGGCCUUGGUCUUGUCCUGCUCACUCACCUUCCUGGUCCUGAUGCGCUCACUGGUGACACACAGGACCAACCUUCGAGCUCUGCACCGAGGAGCUGCCCUGGACUUGAGUCCCUUGCACCGGAGUCCCCAUCCCUCCCGCCACGCCAUAUUCUGUUGGAUGAGCUUCAGUGCCUACCAGACAGCCUUUAUCUGCCUUGGGCUCCUGGUGCAGCAGAUCAUCUUCUUCCUGGGAACCACGGCCCUGGCCUUCCUGGUGCUCAUGCCUGUGCUCCAUGGCAGGAACCUCCUGCUCUUCCGUUCCCUGGAGUCCUCGUGGUGAGUGAAGCAAGACAUGGAGGGCUCAGGGACUCCUUAGAGGUCCCCUAACAGCGACCACCUCCCCACCCCACUGGCAGGCCCUUCUGGCUGACUUUGGCCCUGGCUGUGAUCCUGCAGAACAUGGCAGCCCAUUGGGUCUUCCUGGAGACUCAUGAUGGACACCCACAGCUGACCAACCGGCGAGUGCUCUAUGCAGCCACCUUUCUUCUCUUCCCCCUCAAUGUGCUGGUGGGUGCCAUGGUGGCCACCUGGCGAGUGCUCCUCUCUGCCCUCUACAACGCCAUCCACCUCGGCCAGAUGGACCUCAGCCUGCUGCCACCGAGAGCUGCCACUCUCGACCCCGGCUACUACACGUACCGAAACUUCCUGAAGAUUGAAGUCAGCCAGUCGCAUCCAGCCAUGACAGCCUUCUGCUCCCUGCUCCUGCAAGCGCGGAGCCUCCUACCCAGGACCAUGGCAACCCCCCAGGACAGCCUCAGACCAGGGGAGGAAGACGAAGGGAUGCAGCUGCUACAGACAAAGGACUCCAUGGCCAAGGGAGCAAGGCCCAGGGCCAACCGCGGCAGGGCUCGCUGGGGUCUGGCCUACACGCUGCUGCACAACCCAACUCUGCAGGUCUUCCGCAAGACGGCCCUGUUGGGUGCCAAUGGUGCCCAGCCCUGAGGGCAAGGAAGGUCAACCCACCUGCCCAUCUGUGCUGAGGCACGUUCCUGCCUACCAUCCUCCUCCCUCCCCGGCACUCCUCCCAGCAUCACGCCAGCCAUGCAGCCAGCAGGUCCUCUGGAUCACCAUGGUUGGGUGGAGGUCUGUCUGCACUGGGAACCUCAGGAGGGCUCUGCUCCGCCCACUUGGCCAUGGGAGAGCCAGCAGGGGUUUUGAAGAAAGAAACUGGUGAGUUAGGGCCUUGGUCCAGGAGCCAGUCGAGCCAAGGCAGCCACAUCCAGGCCUCUCCCUGCUCUCGCUCUGCCAUCAGCCUCGAAGGGCCUCGAUGAAGCCUUCUCUGGAACCACGCCAGCCCAGCUCCACCUCAGCCUUGGCCUUCGCGCUGUGGAAGCAGCCAAGGCACUUCCUCACCCCCUCAGCGCCACGGACCUCUCUGGGGAGUGGCUGGAAAGCUCCCGGGCCUCUGGCCUGCAGGGCAGCCCAAGUCAUGACUCAGACCGGGUCCCACACCGAGCUGCCCACACUCGAGAGCCAGAUAUUUUUGUAGUUUUUAUGCCUUUGGCUAUUAUGAAAGAGGUUAGUGUAUUCCCUGCAAUAAACUUGUUCCUGAG